GAGUGCCCAGUUCUACAAAGUCACCACGGAGCAAUACCAAAAAGCUGCUGAUGAAGUGUCAGCUCGGUUCAAGCGGUAUGAGUCUCACCCCAUCUGUGCUGAGCUGCAGGAGAAGAUCCUGCAGUGCUACAGGCAGCACGCCCAGGAGACCCUCAGCUGCUCUGCCCUGGCCAGCCAGUACCUGCGCUGUGUGCACCACGCCAAACAGAGCAUGCUUGGGAGAGGAGGAUAAAGGCACCGUCCAAAUCAAGCACAAGACCAUCAACUCUAAUUUCAGCAGAAGAGCAUUUUUUUCCCCAAGAAUGAUAUGACAGCCCAUUUACAGGGCAGGCCAAUAAAGAGAAGAACUGGAAGAGCCAUUUGAAGAGCAGCAGCCAUCACGGCUCAAUCAGUGUGCCCAUUUGAGAAGCCAAGACCUGUAUCUCAUUACCUCCGAAAUCGUACAUCCGAAGAUGUUCUGUCUGUAGGAAAAUCCACUUAUUGGUGAUUGAAG